rnacentral:piRNA from 1 species
AGAAAGGCGAGGCUCCUGUGGACUAU